UACAGAGGGUGCGAGCGUUAAUCGGAUUUACUGGGCGUAAAGGGCGCGUAGGUGGUUAUGUAAGUGAGAGGUGAAAUCCCCGGGCUUAACCUGGGAACUGCCUCUUAUACUGUGUAGCUGGAGUGCGAGAGAGGGUAGUGGAAUUUCCGGUGUAGCGGUGAAAUGCGUAGAUAUCGGAAGGAACACCAGUGGCGAAGGCGGCUACCUGGCUUGACACUGACACUGAGGCGCGAAAGCGUGGGGAGCAAACAGG
rnacentral:rRNA from 1 species